CUGCAGAAUCGGGAAGGAAGGAAUGGCCCAGCCCAGCCAAUCCUACACUGGGCUCUCGGCCAUUAGCAUUUCCCUGACAUCUGACUGAUCUCUUCAUUUCACUUCAGUAAACAGGCCACCUCAAGGCCAAGGUGACGGUGACCUCUGGCGCUGCAAGCAGCCUAGGAUUGUCCCUGGAGGCCCCGGAAAGCACUCUCUCAGAGGCCAGGCCUCUUACUUCCCACCGCCACCGCUCUGAUGAGGGAUAGACAGCAGGUGCACCGGGCAGAGAAAGCGAGUUGCGUCACCCCUCAAGGCCUUUGUCCCUUUGCCUGAAAUGCUCUUUCCUGGAUCCUCAUGAAUGGAUGUUUUGCAACAUGCAGGUCAAGAUCGGAAUGUCACGGCCAUGGGUCAUUCUCUCCUCGUCACUCCGUCACUCCGUCUAAACCAGCCCAUCCUACGUCCUUUCCAUGGCAUCGCCCUACUGCUGGUAACCAUCUUGUUGGUUUUCUGACUUCGCCCCACAUGAACACACCUGGGAUGGGCCAGCUGGCUUCUUGCUUGAACCUUGCCUCUACCUGGCCGACUCCUCCGUGCCUUUGCUCACCUGCCUGCUCCGUGCCCUGCUCCAUCUCCUGUCCCAAGGCCGAGCGCUGCUCCCCACCAGGAAGGCCCUCAGUAGCCCAGAACUGCUACAACUCUGACCACGCACCUGUCCUGUGGCAUUGAAUCAGGGAUUUUCUCCCUCCAGGAACUCGUUCACAGUCUGAGUCAGAACCUUUGGGAGAAUCGGGCCUGGGAUGGAACCUGGUCUCUGGUACUUGCUCGCUUUGUGUCUUUGGACAACCUCUUUAAUCCUUUCAGACCUCAGUUUCCCCAUCCACAAAACUGAGAUUAUUAUAGUACUGACCCGAAAGUGUUGUUCUGGGAAUUCGUAUAAAGCCAUUCGUUUCGUGCCUGGCACAGAACAGACGCUGCACACAACAACAGAAAAUAGUGUUUAUCUUCAUUUUGUUCCUCUGUACCUCUGCACAGGCUGAGCCGGUAAUAGGCACAACGAUAAAGGAAAUAUUUGUGGAAUGGAAUGAACGGACGUCAUGUGAGCCUUCCCUGUGUGUGGACCGAGCUUCGCUCACCCGCACUCGGGGAAACCAGAACCAGUCACCUCAGGAUCUCGGGGCCGGAGGAGAAAAGAGUCUCUACCAGGAGCUGAAUUGUCCCUCAGACGUCGGUCCAGAGCUCUUGGAGAGUGAAGAUAGGUUCUCUGAUUUAAUCCCCACACCCACCUGACAGGAAGAUCUUUUUAUGUCUCUCUGAUAAUAACACCAUUUGUUGACGACCUAGUGUGUGGCAGGCCUUUGCAAGACACUUUUUAAAAAAUGUGAUUUCAUUUAAAUCCUCACUCUAUCUCAGGGAGAUAAGAGUUAUUAUUACCAAAGAGGAAACAGGGUCAGAAAGUUUAAGUAAACUGCCCAAAGGCAAAUGGGUAGUCAGAGAAAAGGAGAGGCCGGGAUUUGAAACAACAACAAAACCCAGAAACUUCCGUUAUAUCACCUGAUUUACUGACAUUUUCACAGACCGUUCAGACCUCUGCAUUCAGUAGGUGCUUAAUAGGAACUGAAUUGCAGAUGCAUGGUGAUCUUGGGCCUUCUAAAAGGCGCUUCAGAGGGAGCAGUUUCUAUUUCCGGCACCCACCUCAAUCUCCACCUCGAGGGGGGUUGCUCCCCACCCCCUGCGCGGCUGUCAUGAUGUUCUUGUUUUUCUCCAGGCCCCGUGACUCAGCUUGCCGCUCCAGAUGGCUUCCUGCCUUUCCAGUCUUGUUGGCUGGGGUCCCGGGGCCCGGGUACAGUACACUAAAACCGAAAACAUGUUGCAACCAAGAGUGGAAACCCUCCCUCCUCUGAUCGCUAAUGGGAAGACCGGGGUCUUCUGCUAAUCAUGGUGGUGGCUCCCUCCACGGCCUCCCCUCUAGCCCUGAGAUCCUCCUCCUCUGCCCCAGCAUAUCCUUGAUGCCUUAGAGAUGCCACACAGGGGGGAAGCAGGGACCAGCGAAGGGGAAGUUCCCAGUUCUGACAUGCUCUUGGUCUGUUGACCUUAAAAAAUUUACUUGCUGAGCCUCAGUGGCCAAAUGGAGGGUUAUGCCCACCUCUGAGGGUAAUAGCUAGGAUUUCCAGAUAAGGUGCAGAAUGUCCCAUGCUGUGGACUGUGUUCCACCCAAAUUCACGUGUUCAGUCCUAACGCCCAGUGUGAUGGCAGUAGAAGGUGGAGGCAUAGGGAGGUCUUAGGUCAUGGUGACUCCACCAUGGAAGGACCCAGAGAAAAGGCAGCCAUCUGUGAACCAGAAAGAGGGCUCUCACCAGACACCGAAUCUGCUGGCGCCUAGAUCUGGGACUUCCCAGCCUCCAGAAUUAUGAGAAUUAAAAUUUGUUUUUAAGCUAGGCUAUGGGAAUUUGUUACAGCAGCCCAAAUGCACCAAACUGAACUAAAUUUACCAUCCAGUUAAAAUUUGAAUUUCAGAUAGAUGAUUUUCUCAUAAUAUAAUUAUGUCCCAAAUAUUGCAUUCAAAUUUAACUGGAUGUCCUGUAACUUUACUUGCUACAUGUACAACUUUAUGUAGAGUAUAUAGAGAGAUAAAUGUGAAGAUGCUUUAUCACCUACCAAGAGCUAUACACCAAAUCUCUUUCCAGACACAUAGGCAUAUCCACCCACGGACCACCAGCUUGGCUCGGAGCAGAGAACGGAUAGACUUAUGAUCAGCUGAUGGAAAUGUGCAUCCUCUCAUGUGGAGCCCAUGAUUGGAUACCUGGGCCUUGUUUGUCUUGUUUUUCAAUUGGCUGAUCUUUGGACAUUCACCUUCGGGGCUUCAAUGCUCCCAUUUUUAAUACUCCCAAAUGCUAGAAUGAAAAACGUGGAAGCAACAGGUACCAAGAACUUUGCAUAGGCAAUAGUGUUGAUUGACUGACCAUGUUUGAACCAAAUCUCCUUUUUUUU